AAUACCGGAUACUCCAUAUAUAUCGCAUGAUGUAUAUGGGAAAAGCUCCGACGGGCAAAGGGAUGGGGCCCGCGGCCUGUUUAGCUAGUUGGUGGGGUAACGGCCUACCCAAGGCCAAUGAUGGGUAGCCGGGUUGAGAGACCGACCGGCCAGAUUGGGACUGAGACACGGCCCAGACUCCUACGGGAGGCAGCAGUGGGGAAUCUUGCACAAUGGGCGAAAGCCUGAUGCAGCGACGCCGCGUGCGGGAUGAAGGCCUUCGGGUCGUAAACCGCUUUCAGCAGGGACGAGGCCGCAAGGUGACGGUACCUGCAGAAGAAGCCCCGGCUAACUACGUGCCAGCAGCCGCGGUAAU
rnacentral:rRNA from 1 species